rnacentral:rRNA from 1 species
UACGAAGGGGGCUAGCGUUGUCCGAAGUUACUGGGCGUAAAGCGCGCGUAGGCGGGUUGGUAAGUCCGCUGUGAAAGCCCGGAGCUUAACUCCGGAGGGUCGGUGGAUACUGCCAGUCUUGAAGGUGCUAGGGGGAGAUGGAAUUACCGGUGUAGCGGUGAAAUGCGUAGAUAUCGGUAGGAACACCAGUGGCGAAGGCGGUCUCCUGGGGCAUUCUUGACGCUGAUGCGCGAAAGCUGGGGGAGCGAACGGG